rnacentral:rRNA from 1 species
CGACGGGUGAGUAAUGUCUGGGAAACUGCCCGAUGGAGGGGGAUAACUACUGGAAACGGUAGCUAAUACCGCAUAACGUCGCAAGACCAAAGAGGGGACCUUCGGGCCUCUUGCCAUCGGAUGUGCCCAGAUGGGAUUAGCUAGUAGGUGGGGUAACGGCUCACCUAGGCGACGAUCCCUAGCUGGUCUGAGAGGAUGACCAGCCACACUGGAACUGAGACACGGUCCAG